rnacentral:rRNA from 1 species
AUUGAACGCUGGCGGCAGGCCUAACACAUGCAAGUCGAACGAGUGGCGGACGGGUGAGUAAUGUCUGGGAAACAGCCUGAUGGAGGGGGAUAACUACUGGAAACGGUAGUUAAUACCGCAUAACAGCGGAUGUGCCCAGAUGGGAUUCGACAGUAGGUGGGGUAAAGGCUAACCUAGGCGAAGAGCCCUAGCUGGUCUGAGAGGAUGACCGGCCACACUGGCACUGCGACACGGUCCAGACUCCUCCGGGAGGCAGCAGUGGGGAAUAUUGCACAAUGGGCGCAAGCCUGAUGCAGCCCUGCCGCGUGUAUGCAGAAGGCCUUCGGGUUGUAAAGUACUUUCAGCGGGGGGGCGUUACCCGCAGAAGAAGCACCGGCUAACUCCGUGCCAGCAGCCGCGGUAAUAC